UAUGAUUUUUCUUUGUGUUUUCUUCAUGAAUUAUUAAUGAGUUUUUUAAGAAGAAUGUUACAAGGCAAGCCCGUAGCUGGCUCUCGAUUUCUGGGGGGGGCACUGCCGAAAGAAUAUAACAGACGGUUUGAGAUGAGAAAAAUUUUUUUCUGGAAUUUAUUUUGGCGAACUGCCCCCCCCCCACCCGUCGCCAAAAAAAUUUCGGUCAGCGUACCAUUUUAGGGGUCAAAAAUGUUUUCCGGACAGACCAAAUUUUUACAAAAUUUUUCGAAUAUGUCCCAUGAUUACAAUUGCUUUCCAGGUCCUUUAUCUCAAUUUUUCAUACAAAAUUUCGGAGUGGGGGGGGCUGGGGGGCGCUGCGCCAAUGUAAGCGUAACAUUAGACGUCACAUGAAAAAACUUUAGAAAUUCGAUAAAAAUUCGAUGGUGGGUCCUCGCGCGCUCACUUUUCCCUCACUAGAAACUUCGUGUAUUAGCCAACAUUAGGAAUCUAGGGGCCCCAUCUAGCGUAUAUUUUAUAUAAGUGUACUUGUAGGCGAAACGCCAGAAAUUUUUUUUGCAGGGCACCGCAUUUUAGUACUGUGUCUGGUUAUACUAG